ACUUUAAAUAGGUAGGACGU
rnacentral:snRNA from 1 species